rnacentral:lncRNA from 1 species
GUUGUUUGGAGGGAGGUUGCAGGGUGAAGGGUGGAUAUGAGGGGGGACAGGGAGAUGAGUGGGACUGGAGUGCAUGAUGUGAAAUCCACAAAGAAUCCAUUAAAGUUUUCUUUAAAGCUAUGAAUGGGGGUGGGGAAACCAACUUCCUGAUCACUUAAACUGAUUGAUAUGUGGCUCAGUCACCGUUGGUUUUGAGUUUUGUAUAGAUGAUGCUAUAAUACACAGACUCCAGAUGUUUCUUUGGUUUUGUUUGUUUGUUUAAGACAGAUUUGAACAAUGUAGUCCAGGCUGGCCUUAAGGCCUGUCUCUGGAGUGCUGCGGUCAGACAUGAACCAGUCUGUCAGCGCUCAGUUUCUUCAUGUGUAUAUUUCAUGAUCGUGUUUACUUUGUAGGCACCUGUGUUUGUGCCGGGGUGUGCCACAGUAUAGCUAUGGAGGUCAGGGGAUAACUUUCAGGAGGUGAAGGAGUUGGCUCUCCUUCUACCACCUGAAGUCCGGGGAUCGAACUCAAGUCAUCAGGCUUGGCAGCCACCCUUUACCCAGUGAGCCAGGUCACUGGCCCUCAGUGGACGUUAAAGAAGAAACCUGUUUUUAUCAGGGCAUGGCAAUAGAUGCCUACAAUCCUAGAUCUCAGGGGGCAAAAGAGGGAUAAAUGAGGGAUCAAGGUCAUGCUUGGCCAUACUCCACCCUUAUGGCUUCCAAGACCCACCUGCAAUGGCAGUGCCCUGGCUGGGUAUUCAUUGGCUGUGUGACGUUGGUGCCUUCACUCUCCUGAUGAGCACAUCUGAGCUGUUUGCAGUUCCUCACUGGAAGGAGCUGUGCUGCAGUGAGUCUCCCUGUCUGCACAGGUCCUCAGGUGAGUGGCAGAGCCUUCCAGCAUGCCACCCGGGAGGGUGCCACCUCAGUGCCAGGACAAGGCACAGGGUCAAGUUUAUGAGACGAAACCAAAGCUUUCCACCAGCAGCACACACUCCUUCCUGUGUUGGCAGCCUUGAUGAGGUAGGGUUUGUUCUGUCUUUUUCUAAGAUUUAUUUUUAUUUUUUAAUUGUAUGAAUCGUGUGCACUUGUGAGUGCAGGUGUCCACAGAGUCCAGAACGUGUCAGAUCCCUGGAUGCUGGCAAUGGUAGUCAGGUCCCCCAAGAGCAACAAGUGCUGUCAAAACUGAGCCACCAUGACCCUUGACAUUUUGAAUUUGACUUGACCUAAAUAAUGUGAGUGGCUUAUACACCUGAGUUUGAGCAGCUUUGCACACCUGUGUUCUACACCAGUGUCCCUUCCUGUGGAUUAUUCAUGGAUCUUGUUAAAUUUUCUUCCAUUUGUCUUUUCCCAUUUAUUCUAACACACCACACAAACACAUACAGACACACACAGAGAUCAUAUACACCACACACCCACACCAUAACACCACCCAUAUCACACACACAGACACACAAUCACACACACUGAUACACAUACCACACACAGAGAGACACACAUACCACACAUAUACCACACACAGACACACAUGCACAGACUAUUCAC